CUGCGCACGCACAGCAUCAACAACACGUGCCGCCGGGAGAAACCGUCCCCCGCCCCCUCUUAUAUGCCGAAUGUCGCGAUACUUGUCUCGUGCCCACAAGAACGGUAACCGGGCCAGAAUAUGGAGCCAGAACGACAACAACGCAAACACUAAGCCGACCCCUGUGUGCUCGGUGAGAACACACACUAGUUCGACCUAAUCGUGCUGAUUCAUUGCUCAGCUACGUAAAACCCGUACCCGUGGUGAGUCGGACGAUGGAACUGAGCGGCAAACAACGUCCCUACGAGAAGGGGAUGAUGUUCCCCGUUUUUGAAUGGAGUUUAUGAUUUCCACACAAACAUGCACAUGGACGUACACGCACAAUAGGCAUGUGAAGGAAAGGUGAAAUGGAACGUAAUGUGCCUUGCAUUUACUUGUUUGUCACGGCGAUGAUGAUGGUGAUGACCCGGAGAUCGAAUUGUUAAGGCCCCUACUGGUUAGGUUAGGUUAGGCGUAAAGGAGUCUAUCAACACCUACACUCACUCACGCACACAUACACAACAGUUGUGUAUUUUUUAUCUAUUUUUCUCAAGCAAUACUGGCACACAAAUAGUGCGGAAUCAAUGUGCGUAGUAGCUUCCCGCGAGCAACCAAACAUGACAGUCGACAAAACAUUCUCGAAGCACCUGCCUGCUACGAUGUCGCGAAGAUCGUGGAGCUGCUGCUGUACAUGUGCUCGAAUAGGAGGACCCCUUCGGAUCGGAUCUUCAUCUGCAAACAACACAGAACACGUUCCUACUACUUACUGCUGAUUAGCGCUGCUCGUAUGUUUCCCACUUGACUCGGACGGCACUGCUGCUGCUGCUGCUGCUGCUGCUACUACUACUACACAAUCACUUCACUUCACACAACACAUGCUUCACCUGUCCUGUAAAGCUCCCUGGUGAGGUAAU